GGACUUCGCUAGAACAAUCGAACUAGGCCAUUGUCAAGAUGCUACGAGUAAUGUUGUCGCAGUUCUCACCGACUGGGAGUUGGGAAGCCCUUUGCUUGCGGAAAUGGGCGUCUUGGGUGUGAGGAUUCAUGGCACGGACAGGCGGAGAAACAGAGUAGUACGGUGGAGAAGCCUUGCUUGGAAUGAUGUCAGAAAGAUCUGUCACUCUCAGCUCAUUAUGCAUUCCACUCGGCCUGGCCCAUCUGCUGGGUUUAGGGCACACAAUCCCCUCAUUCCUUACAAGGCACUUCUCCACCAUGACCGCCGUCCUCAGCUUCCGAAGCUCACUCAUCUCCU
rnacentral:misc_RNA from 1 species